ensembl:lncRNA
UAUUUUCUAAACAUUACAUUGAUAAUAGAUUUAUCACAAAACAUGAUUUUAAUCACUGUAGCCUAACUGUACAACAGUAUCAUGCAAAUUGAAUUUCUUACACUAUUUUCUGGUGCUUCUCAGUUUCACAGUUAUGUCCUUUAUACUGUAAAUCGAGCCAUUCUAAAAGGUGCAUUUUUCAACUGAAAAAAAAGCGGAUGGGCAUGUGGUUCUCUCAUUUUUCUUUGUAACGAGUUACUUCGUAAGUUUGUCGUCAACAACCGUUUCAGAGUUCCUGACCGUAGGUUCAUCAAACCAACCCCGGGUCGUGGAUAUAUUGCGUGUUGUCAUGCAAGUGUUGUGUUUUGUGAACAUGCUCCCUACCUUGCUUGCUAGUGUGGGACAUGAAACAGGGUUAGCUCAAUAUCAGUGCCACUGUUUCAAAGGCAGCUGGUUUGCUGUGGGGGUCCUCAAAUAAUUGUAAUCUAGUUGUAUGAUAAAAGGUGAGAUUUGUACAGUAAAUUAAUUAUUCUCUUGAAUUUUACGCUUUAGGGUUUUAGUGCUGUAAAGCAAAGUAAUAUCUCUUUGGGUUUGAACUGUUUUGUUUUUUAUUUCAUAUGGUGCUACUCAACCUGCUAUUGCUAUACAAACAUAUAAUGUGAGACCCCGGGGUCGCUGAGAAGGCUAAUGAAUGAUGAACAGUUUAAAUACCUACUUGUCAUAUACCUCAGAACUAGUUUGGCAAUAGGAUCAUGAUACAAAAGAUGUUUCUAUUUCUUCCUUUGUUGUCGACAUCACUUUCAAAAAUGGUUCCAACUAAAAUCCACCACCCAGGCUGAGUUCAUUGCUUACUACUUUCUUUAUGCUUGAUCUACUAGGAAGUAUUACUUGAACUUUACGCUUUGAUGUAAUAGCAAAAUCAGGGAUAUUUCAACUAAUUUCUGUACGUACACACACACACACACACACACGUACACACACAUACACGUAUGCGCGCGCACACACACACACACACACACAGCCUGUGUUCAUCGAGUUCUCUCAUUCAGGGAUUUGCCCAUGCGUCUUGAAUCCCAAUUAAUUACUUGUACAUACAAUUUAAACUGAAAACUAACUUUUCAACUGAAAACUAACUUUGCAAGCAAAAAAGAUUUAAAUGACAACCUGCAAUUGAUUUUGUACUUAUGUUUUAGCUAGAUUGGUGGUAAACCUUUUUUUAAUUAAAUUUGAAAUAUAAUAUGCACUGAGUUGACUAAAGGGAAAGUAAAGUAUUGGCAAAGUAAAUAGCGAUGCAUUUGAAUUUACUGAGGCGAGACCAGGGCUGUUACGAUGGUAGAUGAGGCAUGUGCGUGCCUGUAUAGUUUAAAAAGCAAAAUUUAUUUAUAACCACUAAACAAUUACAUGAUUAUCUUUUACCCCCUCCCCUUUACAUUUCACUUUAAUGUGACAUUCAGUAUGAUGACGGGUUGAAACUGUUUCCGUUUCAACCCAACCCUUCAUCUAUACUAUUGUUUUCUGAAAGCACUUCCUUUCUAUUUCAGAAAAAAAACUAAUGUAAUAAAAGAUUACAAAACGUUUUAUUUAAGAUAUGAAUUAAGUAGAUUGUAAAUGUGUUUAAAAUAAAUUAUGCCACAUUGUACAUACCAUGUGUUUGUAUUACAGAUAUACAAUUUUGUUGAUUUCUAAUUACACCCUGCUAUUGUUAUAUGUUAAAAGGUGUAGGUUUCUUGUAGUUUUGUCAAAUGUACCCACAGCCCAUGUAUCAGCAAUCCUCAUUUUCUUUCAAAUCUACCUUUAGGUUUUUCCAGAUGCAGGAAGCUCAUGGUUAGCUAACCCAGGAAAAUGUUGUAGAUUGCCACACUCACUGUCAAACAACAGCGAUGUUUACAGUUCUAUAGGUUCCUGUUAGCUAAAAUCACCUAGGAAAUAAUUGUUUUUUUUUGUAAAGGAUAAAACAUUUUUGUAUAAAAAUAAAUGAAUGAAAUGUUGAAUUUCAGUGUACAGGACCCAGCGACAGUAGCAGGUUGCAGGUUGUGGUUGUGAAAAGGAGAAAAUGUCUCGAGAUAUAGCGGGUGAUGAGCAUAGCCAUACUUGAAGCAGCUUCAGAGUGUUUCGGAGUGUGAGUCAACAUUACUUGAAUGAUUUUCUGAGCUUGACAAAUGCACAAGAGGUGCCCAGUUGUAACGUUAAGCUAGCAGUUUAAUGUUGUCGGCAUUCUGCAGUUAGAGACACUAAAGGUAUAAAAGUUAUUUUCUGCCUCUGUCCUUUUUAAUCGCUUCCCUUGUUCUCCCUGAAGUUUGGUUUGCAAAAAAAUUGAUUAAGAAUGGAUAUAAAUACUGUAAGUAUUGUAAUGUACUGAAUGCAGUUUAUUUGAAAGCUGUUUAUGAUAUCAUUCCUGAUAUUGCUGAGAUGUGGGUG